AUACACAUCUCCUGGGGACUUUGCUAAACUGCAGGUUCUGAUUCAGUACGUCCAGCUUGUGGUCAAGAUUCUGAAUUCUAACAACUUUCAGGUAAUGCUGUC
rnacentral:miRNA from 1 species